rnacentral:rRNA from 1 species
CCUACGGGUGGCAGCAGUGGGGAAUAUUGGACAAUGGGGGCAACCCUGAUCCAGCCAUGCCGCGUGUGUGAAGAAGGCCCUCGGGUUGUAAAGCACUUUCAGUGAGGAAGAACGCCUGGUGGUUAAUACCCAUUAGGAAAGACAUCACUCACAGAAGAAGCACCGGCUAACUCCGUGCCAGCAGCCGCGGUAAUACGGAGGGUGCGAGCGUUAAUCGGAAUUACUGGGCGUAAAGCGCGCGUAGGUGGCUUGAUAAGCCGGUUGUGAAAGCCCCGGGCUCAACCUGGGAACGGCAUCCGGAACUGUCAAGCUAGAGUGCAGGAGAGGAAGGUAGAAUUCCCGGUGUAGCGGUGAAAUGCGUAGAGAUCGGGAGGAAUACCAGUGGCGAAGGCGGCCUUCUGGACUGACACUGACACUGAGGUGCGAAAGCGUGGGUAGCAAACAGGAUUAGAUACCCCGGUAGUC